GAUGAACGCUGGCGGCGUGCCUAAUACAUGCAAGUCGAGCGAACGGACGAGAAGCUUGCUUCUCUGAUGUUAGCGGCGGACGGGUGAGUAACACGUGGAUAACCUACCUAUAAGACUGGGAUAACUUCGGGAAACCGUAGCUAAUACCGGAUAAUAUUUUGAACCGCAUGGUUCAAAAGUGAAAGACGGUCUUGCUGUCACUUAUAGAUGGAUCCGCGCUGCAUUAGCUAGUUGGUAAGGUAACGGCUUACCAAGGCAACGAUGCAUAGCCGACCUGAGAGGGUGAUCGGCCACACUGGAACUGAGACACGGUCCAGACUCCUACGGGAGGCAGCAGUAGGGAAUCUUCCGCAAAGGGCGAAAGCCUGACGGAGCAACGCCGCGUGAGUGAUGAAGGUCUUCGGAUCGUAAAACUCUGUUAUUAGGGAAGAACAUAUGUGUAAGUAACUGUGCACAUCUUGACGGUACCUAAUCGGAAAGCCACGGCUAACUACGUG
rnacentral:rRNA from 1 species